CCAGACUCCUACGGGAGGCAGCAGUGGGGAAUAUUGGGCAAUGGGCGCAAGCCUGACCCAGCAACGCCGCGUGAAGGAAGAAGGCUUUCGGGUUGUAAACUUCUUUUAAGAGGGAAGAGUAGAAGACGGUACCUCUUGAAUAAGCCACGGCUAACUACGUGCCAGCAGCCGCGGUAAUACGUAGGUGGCAAGCGUUGUCCGGAUUUACUGGGUGUAAAGGGCGUGUAGCCGGGCCGGCAAGUCAGAUGUGAAAUCCCAAGGCUCAACCUUGGAACUGCAUUUGAAACUGUUUCCCUUGAGUGUCGGAGAGGUAAUCGGAAUUCCUUGUGUAGCGGUGAAAUGCGUAGAUAUAAGGAAGAACACCAGUGGCGAAGGCGGAUUACUGGACGAUAACUGACGGUGAGGCGCGAAAGCGUGGGGAGCAAACAGGAUUAGAUACCCCCGUAU
rnacentral:rRNA from 1 species